AGAGUUUGAUCCUGGCUCAGGAUGAACGCUAGCGGGAGGCUUAACACAUGCAAGUCGAGGGGUAAGGCUUUCUUCGGAGAGUACACGACCGGCGCACGGGUGCGUAACGCGUAUGCAACUUACCUUCAACUGGGGAAUAGCCCGGGGAAACCCGGAUUAAUACCCCAUAAUAAUCAGAGUUCACAUGGACAUUGAUUAAAGUUUUAACGGUUGAAGAUGGGCAUGCGUGCCAUUAGCUUGUUGGUGAGGUAACGGCUCACCAAGGCCGCGAUGGCUAGGGGGUCUGAGAGGAUGAUCCCCCACACUGGUACUGAGACACGGACCAGACUCCUACGGGAGGCAGCAGUGAGGAAUAUUGGUCAAUGGGCGCAAGCCUGAACCAGCCAUCCCGCGUGAAGGAUGAAGGCCCUAUGGGUCGUAAACUUCUUUUAUAUAGGAAGAACACCCUCUACGUGUAGAGGACUGACUGUACUAUAUGAAUAAGCAUCGGCUAACUCCGUGCCAGCAGCCGCGGUAAUACGGAGGAUGCAAGCGUUAUCCGGAUUCAUUGGGUUUAAAGGGUGCGUAGGCGGAAUAAUAAGUCAGUGGUGAAAUCCUGCAGCUUAACUGUAGAACUGCCAUUGAUACUGUUAUUCUUGAGUAUAGUUGAGGUGGGCGGAAUGUGUCAUGUAGCGGUGAAAUGCUUAGAUAUGACACAGAACACCGAUUGCGAAGGCAGCUCACUAAACUAUCACUGACGCUGAGGCACGAAAGCGUGGGGAGCGAACAGGAUUAGAUACCCUGGUAGUCCACGCCGUAAACUAUGAUAACUCGUUGUCGGCAAUACAUCGUCGGUGACUGAGCGAAAGCAUUAAGUUAUCCACCUGGGGAGUACGAUCGCAAGAUUGAAACUCAAAGGAAUUGACGGGGGCCCGCACAAGCGGAGGAACAUGUGGUUUAAUUCGAUGAUACGCGAGGAACCUUACCUGGGCUUAAAUGCAGAACGACGAUUUCGGAAACGAAUUCUCUCUUCGGAGCGGACUGCAAGGUGCUGCAUGGUUGUCGUCAGCUCGUGCCGUGAGGUGUCGGGUUAAGUCCCAUAACGAGCGCAACCCCUAUUGUUAGUUGCCAGCGGAUAAUGCCGGGGACUCUAACGAGACUGCCACCGUAAGGUGAGAGGAAGGUGGGGAUGACGUCAAAUCAGCACGGCCCUUAUGUCCAGGGCUACACACGUGUUACAAUGGCAGGUACAAAGGGCAGCUACCUAGUGAUAGGAUGCUAAUCUCGAAAGCCUGUCUUAGUUCGGAUCGAAGUCUGCAACUCGACUUCGUGAAGUUGGAUUCGCUAGUAAUCGUAUAUCAGCAAUGAUACGGUGAAUACGUUCCCGGGCCUUGUACACACCGCCCGUCAAGCCAUGGAAGCUGGGGGUGCCUAAAGUCUGCAACCGUAAGGAGCGGCCUAGGGUAAAACUAGUGACUGGGGCUAAGUCGGAACAAGGUA
rnacentral:rRNA from 1 species